AACUCCUCUGCCACCUGUAAUCUUGAAUUGCCUUCCGGUUGAUGCACACAGAAUCUUUUGCCUUCUGCUGGCAUCCUCCAACGUGGACAACUAGUCUGCUAAAGUAAAAAGGGCCUCAGGAUAUAGCAUAACAGGCUCUUAGUAGUUAGUAUGCACAAUUUAGAAGGAAGACAUUAUGUACUUAUGAAAGUUCAAAAGACCAUAUUUGGCGGGAUGAUCAUCAGGUUUAAGAGAAGCAAGAAAGUGUAGGUCCAGGACACGCAGUUGAUGUAAUGGUCUCAUUUUUUGUACUAUUGUAUGGUAAACUUGGAGACCUCUGUUGUAUGAAUAGUGUGGUUAUAAAUUAUAAUUAGACUUUGAUGAUU